CCAUUAUUCUUCAGGUGAAGCGAGAUUUUUCUAAAUGGUAAAAAACCCAGAUAUAUCCUGUAAAACUACAGAUUACCCUUUCAUCCUAUUAUUUCCUUCACUUUAUCUUGUUUCUGAGAAAACAAAAAGUUUUCUUCAAAUGAUAUUUAUUUCUCAAUUGCUACAAUUUAUAAACUGCAUGUCAGCUCAUGUUUUAGUGAAGUAUUUGUGGAAUAGCAGUAGGUGCUGGCUGUGA
rnacentral:lncRNA from 1 species